AUUUAACAUCGGUUAUCGAAGCAGUUUGACGCCGAUAAUGCUAAAAUAAAAUGUAGUCUUCGCGCAAAUCGUUUUCAACAAAAUUACACCACAUGAUUAAACAUUAAUAACAAUGUCGUGAUAUCAACAAAGGAACACCAUUGUAUCUAGAAAAAUGCCUUAGUUUGUUCGACUUUGUUCUCAUACAUACGCGACUGAAACGGUGUACACUUUCUUUUGUGGCGUGACGGAAGAGAAAUCUG
rnacentral:misc_RNA from 1 species